CCUACGGGUGGCUGCAGUGAGGAAUAUUGGUCAAUGGGCGCGAGCCUGAACCAGCCAAGUAGCGUGAAGGAUGACUGCCCUACGGGGUGUAAACUUCUGUUAUAAAGGAAGAAAGUGAGGCACGUGUGCCGUUUUGGAUGUACUGUAUGAAUAAGGAUAGGCUAACUCCGUGCCAGCAGCCGCGGUAAUACGGAGGAUCCGAGCGUUAUCCGGAUUUAUUGGGGUUAAAGGGAGCGUAGAUGGGUUGUUAAGUCAGUUGGGAAAGUUUGCGGCUCAACCGUAAAAUUGCAAUUGAUACUGGCAGUCUUUAGUACAGUUGCGGUCGGCGGAUUUCGUGGUGUAGCUGUG
rnacentral:rRNA from 1 species